rnacentral:rRNA from 1 species
CUACGGGUUGCAGCAGUGAGGAAUAUUGCACAAUGGGGGGAGCCCUGAUGCAGCAACGCCGCGUGGAGGAUGACGCAUUUCGGUGUGUAAACUCCUUUUAUAUGUCAAGAAAAUGACGGUAGCAUAUGAAUAAGCACCGGCGUAACUCCGUGCCAGCAGCCGCGGUAAUACGGAGGGUGCAAGCGUUACUCGGAAUCACUGGGCGUAAAGGACGCGUAGGCGGGUUGGAAAGUCAGGUGUGAAAUCCUACAGCUUAACUGUAGAACUGCACUUGAAACUUCUAAUCUAGAGUAUGGGAGGGGGAGAUGGAAUUAGUGGUGUAGGGGUAACAUCCGUAGAUAUCACUAGGAAUACCUAAAGCGAAGGCGAUCUCCUGGAACAUUACUGACGCUAAGGCGUGAAAGCGUGGGGAGCAAACAGGAUUAGAUACCCGCGUAGUC